UUCUUUGUUUAACUCUAUUCUGCCUAAGGCCAUACUCCUUUUGAGGCCAACCACAGAGUCCUAGUUUUGCCUUUAGUGACCUGCAGGACAGUGCAGCAUGGGAGCUGGGAGACUCAUAUCCCAAUCCUCUCUGUUGUUGAUUUUGUGCAGAUUAAAUUUGGGCAAUUGGCUGAACUCUCCUGGCUUCAGUGACCCACCUGUAAAAUAAGGAGGUGCACUAGAUGCUCUCUCCACCCUUUCAAUAACAGUGUAGGCUUGGAAACUCUUUUUCUCCCCAGAGACAGCUUAAUGGCCACUCCUACAAGCCAAAGUGAAGAAGCAGCAUCAAGCACACACUUUGCGGUGGGUGGGCCUGGGAAGGAGUAUGUAGUCUAGCGAAUACCAUGCACGCACACGACCUUAUGGGAUCCAUAACUGCACUAACACUAUCACCCAAGAAGCCAAUUCAUUCCACCAUCUCAGUGCUGCCAGAGCAAGUCAGAUUAACUAGGAUCUACAAAACUGAGCUGAGCAUAUGAAAGCAAGGAAAAAGCAAAACAAACAUGAGGGGCCUCUCUCCCCGACUUCGGAUUUUCAUUCAAAUAAACUCAGAACUGAAAAUAACACUAUCCCCACCUAGAACAAUUGGCCUCGCUGACCUUGCUGGCCUAACAAGCCAAAAGGGACCAAUGACACCCGGCGUGUCUCGGGGCGCAGACCCACAAAGCGCAAACUAACCCAAGACAGCAUUGGGCAAUCUUUAAAUUGGACUUUCCUUUCUACAGGCGCUGGUCAGGCACUUGCAAUCUCUCUAGAGACAGUCGCUGGAGAUACGGGGACUAUGUACAGAGGGCACUGUCUCUCCGCCCCACCCCCAACCCCCAGGGGGAUCCGCAGACCCUUAAUUUAAGCUACGUCUCUAAAAGCCUCCGUGAAGUGUGCGAGGGGGGCAUCCAGCGUCCUCCCGAGGAGUGCGUCAGGCAGACUCUCGACCUGAGGAUUGAGAUAACCACAGACAAUAUGCCAAGCCCAAGCAGUUCUUGGAGUUCAGAGACAGAGGAGCCGGCAAGCAAGGCUACCCUGGAAGAAUUCCAAGGUGGGAGCCGCUGUGGAACUGUUCUUGGGUGCGUGGGAGAGGGGCGAUAAGGGGUCCAUCAAGGCU
rnacentral:lncRNA from 1 species